CGUUACAGCCCACUGACCUACUUCCCACCUGAAAUCCUACCUCUCAAAGUCUCCACCGCCUCCAAAGCGGCAUUAAAUGGCUGAAGACCAAGCAUAGAACACAGGAAGAAGCCCCUCCCGCUGCAGGCAUGCGCAGUCGCUUCCUGCAGGCAGCAACAUGGAGCUGGGUCCACGGCUUGGAUACUGCCGGGAGGCUAAGCUUGCUUUCCCUACCACUCUGGGCUUUCCCGCUUUUCUCUGAAGCCCCUGCUCUUUCCACCAUGCAGCUGCUUGACAACCUUCACUACAAACUGAAGGCUUUGCCUUCCUCUUUUCCCUCCAUGUUCCUUCUUCUGGAAGCUGCUGAGAUUGACAGCUUGCCUUCCCUGUUGCUUUUCUUUUAGACCACAAUAAAACUGUCAUUGAGCUUC